AACAAACGCUGGCGGCGUGCCUAACACAUGCAAGUCGUACGAGAAAGGGUCCUUCGGGGCCUGAGUAAAGUGGCGCACGGGUGAGUAACGCGUGGAUAAUCUGCCCUUAGGUCGGGAAUAACUCAUCGAAAGGUGGGCUAAUACCGGAUAAUGCUGUUUUUACCUCGGUGGAACAGCCAAAGGGGGCCUCUGUAUGUAAGCUCUCGCUUAAGGAUGAGUCCGCGUACCAUUAGCUAGUUGGUGGGGUAAUGGCCUACCAAGGCGACGAUGGUUAGCUGGUCUGAGAGGAUGAUCAGCCACACUGGAACUGAGACACGGUCCAGACUCCUACGGGAGGCUG
rnacentral:rRNA from 1 species